GGGUCUGCGUUCUAUUAGCUAGUUGGUGGGGUAAAGGCCUACCAGGGCGACGAUGGGUAGCUGGUCUGAGAGGAUGAUCACCCACACUGGAACUGGAACACGGUCCAGACUCCUACGGGAGGCAGCAGUGGGGAAUAUUGGGCAAUGGGGGCAACCCUGACCCAGCAACGCCGUGUGAGGAAGAAGGUUUUCGGAUCGUAAACCUCUGUCAGGAGGGAAGAAGUGCAUGCCAAGUAAUAUGUGGCAUGUUUGACGGUACCUCCAAAGGAAGCACCGGCUAACUCCGUGCCAGCAGCCGCGGGUAAUACGGAGGGUGCGAGCGUUAUUCGGAAUUACUGGGCGUAAAGCGCGCGUAGGCGGCGCGGCAAGUCAGAUGUGAAAGCCCCGGGCUCAACCUGGGAAUUGCAUUUGAAACUGCCGUGCUUGAGUAAGGUAGAGGGUGGCGGAAUUCCCGGUGUAGGAGUGAAAUCCGUAGAUAUCGGGAGGAACACCAGUGGCGAAGGCGGCCACCUGGGCCUUUACUGACGCUGAGGUGCGAAAGCGUGGGUAGCAAACAGGAUUAGAUACCCUGGUAGUCCACGCUGUAAACGAUGGACACUAGGUGCCGGGC
rnacentral:rRNA from 1 species